AACCUGGUUCACCAGUGCCUCUGUGUCAAUCUAUCUUGGCUGUACAGGGUCCUCGCUGCCAUCUGUUUGUUUUUCUUUCCAAUGGGAAGUAUUUCUGCUGCAGUGCCGAUGUAUUUAGCUGUGGCUCAUUCCUGGAUGGAGUCAUUAAUUGACCUACUGCAGAGGAUCUGUGUUCCAGUGUCCUACAUUAGAUUCCUCAAGGUAGCCACCUUUGAUGUAAGAUGGACAGGGAUUGACCCUGGACCUGGAGGUAGCAGUACACCUUAUCCCAGCUUCCUGUUUGGCUCUCGUUUGGAGAGUGCGCAAGUUGUCCUGCAUUACAUGCUACCAAGGCCAUAUCCACAACUGCGUGGGCCGGUUAUCUUUCUGCCCAUAAAAUAAGGUGCAAAUAGGAGACAUCUUUGUCCUUGGCCUUGAAGGAGACUUGGAUUGUAAAAUCUAAUAAAAGGUGUGAUCCUACUGAUCGCCGCCAUUUCAUCUGGAUCUGCACCACAAAUGAGAAAAGGAGGCUGUUGAAUGUCCAACAUCUUGUUUGAGUUAGACUCUAACCCUGGGGCAGGAAUGAGAGGAGGUAGUAGUGGGGGGGUUCUUUCUAUACCUACUCUUGUUUUCUCACAGAAAAAGGGGAAGGGUAUUACAGCUGACUCGCAUGUAAGGAUUUCGCAGUUUCAGCACUUCUGAUCUAGUCAUUGUGAACUCAAGUGAAAUCAUCCACAGAGCUUCUGUCCACGUGGUCCGAAGUGAUCAUUCAUCACUGUGCAAUGUCCAACUAAACAGCAUCAUUGCGUCCUGACGGUGGAAAAUCCAAUCUUUAUCUCUAACCUUUUUUAUCUGGCUGAUUGGGGCAAACCUUAACUGCUUUAUCAGGUGUAUGUGUUCUGUUUACGCUAACUAUCCUAUUGUUUCCCCUAAACAUACAAGCAAAAUACAGAAUAGAUUCAAGUUUUGUGAAGGAAACACUUGAGAAAGAAAUAUUAGGAACCUUAAAAAGACUUCUUAGUAAAUCUAAAAAAAAAAAACAUAUUACAGAUCCACAUCUCCUUAAAGCAAAAAUGUCUGACAUGAGAAGCUGAGUAUGCACGUUAUUGUAUGUUUUAACUGUUAUUUCAUUAAUGAAGUGCACAUUUUCUCUUAUGACAUUUAAAGAUGAUUCUUAUAUGAUUCACAGGAACCCAGAAUAGGAACCAGAUGAGUCAUUUAUUGCUGUCUGGCCUCAUUUUGGAGCAGUUUUCCAUAAGGUUCUUUCCAGCCACAAGCUUUUAUCUGCCAUGAAGGUUUGAAACAAAACGUGGAGCCUUUGAAUUCUCAAAGAGAAACUCAAAACUUUGUUGCUCUCAACAGACCAGAUAUGGAAAAGUUUUGUUUCUUGAAACUCAUGUUUGGAAAACAUCUGACAGAUUGCAGAUCUUUACAUCUGGUGGCAAUUAAUAGUUUUUUUUUAGCCGAAAACCUUUCGAAACUGAAAUUAAACCAAGCUUUUGCAGACUAGUAACCAUCUUUUGCAAUUGUUUAGCAAUGCUAGGCUAGUUCACUGCAGCUGAGUCAUGAAACAGUUUCAUAAGUUUGUGAUUUCCAUUCUCUGUGCUUCUAACUAACAUAUUAAAAUAGUCUUAAGAGCAUAGAAAGUUGUACAGCAUAAAAGAAGAAGAUAAUCUUUGAUAUAAUUUGACCAACUAAAUAAAUAAUGGGGAUUUUAUAGUCAGCAAGACAACUGAAAACAUACGUUAACACACUGGGAGAAGGUCAGUAAAACCAAAUACCGUAUGAUCAUAUAUUUCUCUAUCAAUUUCAUUUAAGUUCAGGUUAUUUAUGUAACAACAGUUCCCAACAAAUGUUCUCUUAAGCCACUUUACAAGACAAACAGGCUCCAUUCAUAUCCAGUCAUCCAGUAUCCAAUUAUAUCCAAAUUCAGUUCUAAUUCAUUCCAAUACAGUCAAAUCAUAUGGUAAGGUCCAUGUGUAGUUUCAGCCACAGAGGCAAGUUCUUACUGAGUCUGAGGCAAUUCUCUGGGGCAAGUAUGUGGCAACAGUGGAGUGGAACCAGUCACUUUGAACAGGAAGUAAACAUGAGCAGAACCAGGUUCAGUGUGAGCCUCACCAUCUGACACAACCAGUUGGAAGGUUGAGAGGACAGGAAGGAGACACAGAAAAAGCACAGAAUACUGAGCCAGGAGUACCUUCUAUAAAAAGAAAGGCAUGAGACAACAUACAUUUAGUGACAGCAAUAAUGUUGUCAAUGACUCCAACAAUAUUAUAGAUAAAACACAGAAGCAAUAGGCUAGGGAUACUUUCUAUGAACAUUUCAAAGUAAACAAUGUUAAUGGCAGUAAUAGCUUCAUCAUUUACUCCAUAAAGAAAGAUGCAGCUUGAAACAGGAGCAAUGCAGACCUUACCAAUGGCUAAAUUAGUACAGUCAUUGUCAGUCACAGUUCACGAAAAAGAGACAGUUAUACACAGAAGCAAUGAGUCAACAUGUACUUUCUAAAGGUAAAGUAAACAAAGAGUACACAAAAAUAAUGGUGCAAUUACUCCUCCAGUGGCUCUGUACGGCAAAGAGACAUCACUAAACAUAGAAGUGUUGACCCUGGAGUACUUUUUAAGGGAACAGAACAAAAAACAAGACAGUUCACAAGGUUACUGGCAGCAAUAGCUUUGGCAGUAAAUUUUUUAACAAAGAAACAGCCAGGUAUGCUUUCCACUGGAAAGGAAGACAGAUACACAUAUUUAAUGGCAUACUGCUGUCAAUAUUUUUAUCUAGGAAAGAGACACGGUUAAACACAGAAGCACUGGGCUAGUAGUACUUUCAACUGUAUAGAAAGAAAAAAGAGAGAGCAAAAAUUUAAAGGGAUCAAUAAUUGCAAAUAAUACAGAAAUUGAGAGGAGCUGCAGAAAAUAGCAGUGGUCGGCAAUUCCUCCAGCAGCCUAUACGUUUUGCAGCAUAAUUUUACACAUAGUUCAAGAUAACCAGAAGCCACUAUGACUAUGAGCUUUAUUAAAAAGGACAAUGUUAGGCCUAGUAUCAAAACUGAACACAGUCUCUGGCUCACAGAAAAGACUGGUAGCUGGUUCCAUGAUGCAAAUCAUCUAAACUGGACACCUUGGAUAAUAAUGUAACAAUUUCAGUUAAUUAGACUUAGAUUCUGACAGGUCUAUCCAUCACGACUAGUUUUCUUUAUCAUCAACAGUGAGUCUAGUAGGAACAAUUUCCCUCAUCUGUCAAAUCACGGAGCUGCAAAGACCACAAAUGAGAGGACAGCUGGAAUGAAAUAUUUCAAGCAACACACUGACACCAGCUCAAACUCCCAGAGGAAGGUCAUAUGUUGUUGCCAUAGCAAUGGGGAACACCAGCAGUAUGUUGAGAUGGUAGCCUGGAGGGGAGUCGGGGGUUGUCUGAACUGGAUCAAUGGCUAAAGAAUUUUAGUGGCCUGGUGCGGAUGUACGUUGAAUAAUAAAAUAUUCCCUCUGAAUAAAGCCAGAGUAGCUUUGCCACUAUUCAUUAUAGCACUCUGAUGUUCGGGACCCAUUAACAUCUGUUAAUGCUCAGUACGCAACGCGACAUAUCCGGCUCUCAGGACAGCGAGGGUAUUUUUAGACGUGCUCAUUAGUGCUGAGAGAUCAUUUGUAAUGAAGGACGGGUGGGGAGAAAGGAGGCUAGGAUCUCAGUGAAAGAUGGUAUCCAUACUCAAAUGUCUGUGGAGCGGGUGGAUUUAAACUGAGAGUGAAAAGAGCGAAGGUGAGAUGCGAGGAGCAGGCCGCUGGACGAGUCUGAGAAGGGCAGAGCAAUAAAGUGGCCAGAGCAAGGGCAAGGAUAUUAUGCAGCACAUUACCCAGUACGCUUCAAGCUCUAAUUCUAAAAUAUAGGCAACACAUGUAACCUCUCACUGAUUGCAUGUGCUAAUAGCUGGACUGAAUCUAUUGUUCCCACUGGGAUCAGCAUCCAGUCAGCCAUUAUUCAUAAAAACUCGUCAGUUCAAUUAGCAGAACGGUCGUAAUUCAGGAUCAUGCAUGUUAUCGAUUAAUGGACUUUCCUCUCUGAGAACUGUUCCAUUACUCCUCUCUGAAAUGAUGUACACAUCCUGAAGUCAACAUGCACCAUAUUUCCUGUUUGGGUCAGACAAUGCAGGUAUUGAAUUAUAAAACUGUUAUCUGUUCUUUUUUCUUUUCCAUAAUGGCAUUCUGAUUAAAUUUGCAGCAGAAGGGAGAGAGCCGUCUCUUUCUUCAGGUGGAGGUUAUAUUGGAUAAGAAUAUAGUGCUGUUGUCUUGCGAAGAGGACACAAAUACAGACCGCAUGGCAUACCAGCUUUUGCACUUCCCUCUUCUUUCAGCCACAACAGUGAUUUUUGUACCCCGAUUCAACAGUGCCCCCUAAUGGGUACACUGAAGGUUGCCAAAGUAACAAAGACUGUACCUCUCUGGAAGGCGAGGCUAGAAAUAAAAAAGUAAUUUAAAAAUAAAUACAUUUUUAAAUAAUUAUUUAGAUAUGUAUUAUUUAAAAAUUUUAAAAAAUGCAUAAAUGUAUCAGUUAUUUUAAAAUACAUCAGUUAUUGAAGAAGGUAGGAAUUAAAAGUGAACUUAUUCAUUGUAGGAUUUAUAAUUUAAAAUAUUCUAUAAUUAUUAGAGUAUUUAAUCAGUUAUUUCCUGUUUUAUUUGCUACAGUGCAACAUGAGAUAAUUAAAAUUCUCUCUUUAGUGCUUGAAAUAGAUCCAGACAUUUGUUUGGUUAACCUGCAUUGUAACUCCACAUUAGAGCAAUCAAAACUGAAACCCCAUCCACAGACUUUGAAAGAAAACGUAGGGAAAUAAAUACAAAAUAAAAAAAAUAAAAAAUAAAACUUAGUAAAAGUAAAAAGACAUUAUUUAUGUAAUUGUUUUGGAUUUUAAUCAAUCAUGGACACAUUUAAAAACCAAUUUGUGGAUUAUUUUCUGAUGAAUUGUGGUACGUUUGGACCUCCAAAGAGUUCAAAUGUUAUUUUCAGUGUAUAACAUAUAUAUAUAUAUAUAUAUGUGUAUUCUUAUCAUCACAUGUUGCCCUGAAUGGUAGGUAUUAUAUAAAUAUUUAGCUUAAAUAAAAGGAGAUAAAUGCAGGCAUUUUAAGCCAACCUUUGUGUUUCUUGGCCUUGUCCAUCUGAACUUGGGCUGUCAAAACAGGAAAACACAAACGAUUGAUAGGGAGACUUGUUUGCCAGAGUGUCUACCAAACAAUAGAAGGCUGAACAAUGAGAGCCAAGUUAAAACCUGCCUCCUCAUGGAAGCUGGCAAUGACGGCCAGUCUUUGUCUACAAAGGUAGACGACAGAUGGUAGAGAAAAGUUUAGGUCCUGAAAAAUAUACAUAAAUAACUAAAUAUUAUCACUAGGACUUAUUCUGCUUAUACUAAAUACAACUAUGGACCAGCAGUAGAAUCAUUGGACAAGGGACAGACCUGGUCCUAUAGAGGAGUGGCAAAAAGAAAGCCAUUGUUGAAAGAAAGCUUUUAAAUGUAUUGUUUGCAGUUUGCCACAAGCCAUACAUGGGAGACAGCACACCAGGAAGAAGAUGUUCUGGUCAGAUGAGACCGAAACUGAACUUUUAGGCCAAUGGGAAAAACGCUAUGUGUGGACAAAAGCUAACACUGCACAUCACCCUGAACAUCUUAUCCUCCACAGUGACACAUGGGAGAGACAGUAUCAUGCUGUGGAGAUGCUUCUCCUGAGAAGGGACAGGGAUCAGAGUUGAUGGGAAGAUGGAUGGAGCUAAAUACAGGGCAAUCCUUUAAAAAAUACCUGUUAGAAGCAGUAAAAUAUUUGAGACUGAGGCGGAGGUUUACCUUCCAGCAGGAAAAUGACCCUAAACAUACAUCUGGAGGCUACAGUGAAAUGGUUCAUAGCAAAGCGUAUUCAUGUGUUAGAAUGGCCCAGUCAAAGUCCAGACAUAAAUCCAACUAGCAAGACUUGAAAACUUAUGUUUGCGGGCACUCACCAUUCAAUCGGACUGACCUUUUAUUAAGGUUUGUUGAGGCUUAAGACCAAAGCGCAGGAGGUAGGAUUAUAGUUUCAAGACCUUUAAUAAUGAAACAAAAAAAAAAUCCAGGGGCCAAAGGAUAACUGGCAUGAUACUGAUGGGGCAACAGAGGAAUUGAACAAACAGUGACUAGACUAAGGAGUAUAAAUACUAAGGAGGGAGGGUGAUUGGUAAAGUGGAAACAAGUACUGUAAAUGAUUAAAUGGAUGGAUGACAGCUGGGAUGAUGCAUGAACCAUGGGACCGACUGAGGGGGUAAAUAUGACAGAAAACAAACACAGGAAACAAAAUCUAAACAGAACAUGACUUAAAACAAGUGAGCACCAAGAGCUUAAUAAUAAACCCAAUACAUAAUCAACCCAAAGUGACACAUAACUCAAGAAAAAUAUGACAAAACAGAACCACAAUUCUUCAUAUCUUCCUCUUAAUUAUGCACUACUAUGUGUUGGUCUAUCACAAAAAAAAUCCCGAUAAAACCCAUUUACAUUUGGGUUCAUUAUGUAACAAAAUGUGAAAACAGUCAAGGGGUAUGAAAGAUCUUUGCAUGAUACUGUGUCUAAUUAUGGCACAAUAUAAAUACAUUCUCCAUCAUAAACUCCACAGAUAGAUGUAGCAACCCAUUAAACUUUGCAAAAACAAACUCUAAUCUUUCUUCCCCAGAUACUGACUUGUUUUAUUACAGCCCAAAUUCUGAAAUACCCUGAGUAGCAUGCUCUAUUACGAAGCUGUCCAAAGAAGUUGCUGCUUUCACAAUUUCAGCCGCUUGAUUGUACAUCUUUCACCCAGCACUUCAAGGGCCUUGAGGUUUUAUCAGGCAUUGGCUGUCAGAAAGCAUCCUGCAUUCUGAUCGAAGCCGUUACAAGAACGGCCAGAUGUCAGGAAAUAAAAAUUAUCUGCAACACCCUGCAGCAACUCACAUUGUCUGAUGUCAUGCCUGUAAUAGCUGAUUGCAGCAUUUACUCUGGCAAGUGCGAUUCAGACCACAGGGUGUUGAUUUCUGGGAAAGGCAGCUCCGAAGGGUGGAAGUAGAGGGACAGAUGGCAACGCGGUGAACCAGUUCCUCUACGAGAAUUCACAGGCAUCAAGAAAUCAAGUUAAGAGAUGGCUCUCUGGGUAUAAUGCCACUAAUUUGGGUCUGAUGAAGAACACAGAAGCUGAUCUCCAGCAACAGGGACUUAACAGCCAUCCCUAACAGGAUUUCUGAGAAGCACAAUAAAUGUAAUUCAACUGUCUUCACCUCCACAGGGGAUUUUAAUAGUACAUCUUAUCAGUUUAUGGCAAGUACGGAAAGUUCUGUACUGUAUACAGGAGUUAUUGUUCUGUUUCUGAGCAUCAGUGGCAUCAAUACAAGCAUUGACACAACUGAGACUUUAUAAAGAACCAUGUGCUUUGAACAGAUGAGACUCAGAGUGACCUUUUCUGCAACUAACCAUCCAGGUGGCUCUGGCUUGAAACAACGGAGGAAUAUGUAGGAAAUUACAUUAUGCCCACUGUUAGGUAUGGUGGCGGACGUGUGAUGCUGUGGGUCUGUGUCUUUGCCAUUGGCCCUGGGAGCCUUGCCAUAAAAUACAAGGACAUUUUAAAUAAAAUUUGGUGACCACAGCCAGAAGACUCAAUAAUGGCAAAUCAACACAGAAAUAACAUAGGGUGUGUAUAAAUGUGGAGGGUGGUGUAAAUAUAGAAGGGGAUUGCACAAAAUCAAAACCUCUGGCUUUCAAAAACCUUCACUAAAGUUACCGUAGAGCUUACUCAAAAUGAACAGUAGAAACAUCUCUAUUGCUGAGGCAUGGCAGUGAUAUUAUCAUGAUUUGGGCUUAUGUUGCAGCAGGUUGUAGUAGAUUUCUAACUGAUUACAGGAAGAAAAGAUUCAUUGAACUAUCACAUGUAGGAAAGUAAAAGAUAACAAGAAGAUUUCUGUAACAGUAGAAUGAUCUUCAAAACACCUCCAAAAAAUACAAAAUCACAAAGAAACACAAGGCCAAGAGUUUGCUAUUGCUAUCAUAUUGUUCCAAAUUACCACUGAAAAAUUAGGAAUGCACUUCAAGAGCAAUUAUAAUCCUGAGGAAAUAGUGGGUAGCAUAUUUUAAAAAUAAUAAAAUUGUGUUUCUCUUGUUCAGAUGAGUGGUAGUAUCUUUCUUUAGAUUUUAGUUGGGGAUGGGAGCAGCAUCAGCAUAUGUCAGCAUGCCACUAAAUGCCCCUGACAUUCACACUGUUUGGUGGGAGUAAUCCCAGCUGUUAUAGUAUUUCAGAUUUUAUUUUCAGAUUUUAGCUAAAAUAUGCUCCACAGCAUGAAAAUAUACAGUGCUGUGAAAAAGUAGCUACCACUUUACAGAUUUCUUGUUUACAGCAGGUCAGCUCUAAAUUAUGCCCCACUUACGGCUCUACUUCCCAGCCUCUGUUCUCAAGCACUCUACUUUCUGUGGCUCCUCACUCAGCCAGCUUGAAAAUACUCAAGCAGUAUCAUUUUACCCUUUUUAUUUUCUGCUUAGGUCAUACAGACUGCCAUCUCCAAUUCUAUGGUGAUUGAUUAUCCAUAUGAUAUGUCACAGUUUUGAAAUAAGUCUGCUUUUUCAAGUAAUUAUUGUGGAAUUUAUGCUUAGAAUGUUUUUAUAUAUUUGUAAUGACAGUAUGUACUGUGUAUUGUAUGUUUAAUGUUAUAUUUUGUAGUUUCAAGGUUCUCAGAUCACGGUUGUGUCUCAGUAUAAAUUAUCUUGGCUUGAUAAUUGAUGAUUCUCUGGGUUUUUAUCCUCAUAUUCAACAGCUUGAAACAGAAUCAAAGCUGAAGCUGGGUUUUUAUUUUAGAAUUAGAUCUUGUUUGUCAUUGGAGGCUAGGAAAUGUCUUGUUGCUGCAACUUUUUUGCCCAUUUUAGAUUAUGGUGACAUAACUUACAUGCAUUUAUGUUCAUACUGGUUGCAUAAGCUAGAUUCUGUAUAUCAUGGAGCAUUACGUUUCAUCACUGGUCUAGGAGCCCUAACUCACCAUUGUCAUCUGUAUACCUGUGUUGGUUGGGCUGCCCUGUCCAGCCGUAGGUUUUGACACUGGUAUCAUUUUAUUUACAAAAGCCAUCUUGGAUUUACUCUCAUCGUAUCUAUUGUCUCUUAUUGUUAGGAAACAUCCAGGUGGUUAUUUUCUGUGCUCAGACAACUUGAUUUUAUUGACUGUGCCUAAGGUUUAUACUGAGAACGGCAACAAAUCUUUCCAGUUUGCUGCUUCCUCAGAUUGGAAUCAACUGCAGAAUGAUUUAAAGUUGAAAGAAUUUGUUUCCUUUAAUGUAUUUAAGGCCGCUCUUAAUCAGUUUGUACAUAAGGUAUUUUUUUGUAAAUGCUUUGAUUAAGAUGUAUUUUAGUCUUAUUUUUACUUUCACUUUCAUGGCUGUGUUUGUUUUAUUUUUUUUAUUAUCCAUAUUGUAUAUUAAUUGGUUUUGAUAUCUGUAGUUUUUGCUUUGUAAUUGUUGGUAUGUUGCUAUCGCGUUUGCCCAGGUCUCUCUUGCAAAAGAAAUUUGUAAUCUCAUUGAAUUAUACCUGAUUAAAUAAAGGUUACAUACAAG